UACGUAGGGGGCAAGCGUUGUCCGGAAUCAUUGGGCGUAAAGAGCGUGUAGGCGGUUCGGUAAGUCGACUGUGAAAUCUCCGGGCUUAACCCGGAAAGGUCAGCCGAUACUGCGGGGCUAGAGUGCAGAAGGGGCAACUGGAAUUCUCGGUGUAGCGGUGAAAUGCGUAGAUAUCGAGAGGAACACCUGCGGCGAAGGCGGGUUGCUGGGCUGACACUGACGCUGAGCCGCGAAAGCCAGGGGAGCGAACGGG
rnacentral:rRNA from 1 species